rnacentral:lncRNA from 1 species
CUGGAAUUAGCAAAAUAUAACCAUAACUUGUUGCUUGUGAAACCCCUCAUCCAAGUUUAUACUUCAUGGUCCUAAGAAUUUCGUUUACAAAUAACAAUGUUGAAUUGCAAAUUACAAAAGCAAAUGAAUUCAUUCUUAAAUAUGGUCUUAGUAAAUUCUUGAAUUAAAAUGUUCAAAAAACAGGUGUUGAAACCGAAACAACUCAAGAUUUGGUGACUAUUGGUGAUCAAUUAUAUUUUGAUUUCUUGCAAUAACGGGUUAACACAAGUAUGGUUUUGGUUGUAAGUAUUUUUCAUGUAUAUAUUCAUAAGAAAUUUAGAGUAGUAUAUUUAUCACUGACGGGUCGACAGUUAUCAUUCAGGUUUCUGUAAUAACCAUGAUUGAAAUGUGAUAAUGUUUUCUUAUCAGAUUUAUCUUAUGCCAAUACGUGGCUGGAAAUGUUAUAGUAGUAGUGAUAGAAAAUGAAAAUUUCAAAUAUAUAAUCACACUCGGCACGCCUCGGUGGAUCAUAAAAUCUAACUUUUGAUAAAGAGUACAGAUCUUUACCGAGGUUUGUCGAUUGUACAUAAUCACACUCAGCAAACCUCGGUUGAUUAUAAAAUCUAACUUUUUGAUAAAGAGUACAGACAUUUACCGAGGUUUGUCGAUUGUAUAUACGCAUUGUUGAAGACCAUCUGAGAUUUAUUAGCGCACAUAUCAUUAAAAUUCUGCUGUUCAAACUCCAUAUUUCAUUUGCAACAUGUAUAUAUGCAUUUUCAAGUAAUUACUUAGACUGAAUAUAUCUGAAAGGGUAAUUUGUGAGGUUAACUAAAUUUAUUUUUCACUUUUAAAACCCUCUCUAAAACAAACGCCUUUUACAGCUGACUAU